CUCCUCUUGUUUCUUUUCUUCAGCUCAACCACCGAGAGAAAGAAAAACAAUGACAAACAAGACUGGUCACUUGUUUUGUCUCACUUUAGCCGAGAGAGAGUAGAGAGAGUUGAGAGGAAAAAUUUGUGCCAUGCUUCAACCUUCCAGCCGAGAGGAACUUGAGAGAAGAAUAAAGAAAUUUCUCUUGUUUUGCUUCCACUUCAGCCAAGAGGAACCAGAGAGAGAACACUUAAAGGAAGCUUGUGUCUUACUUCCAUUUCCAGCUUGCUUGAUCGGGUAGAAGGACCAAAACAGGGGAGUUAACUUCUAGCUUGUGUCAAAGGGCGUGACGGUGGUCCGAAACGCUCGUCGGGUGGACAAGUGUGAAAAUUCUCUUUGCUUACUUGAGAACAACUUUUGAAGACUGUGAUAUUUUGAUGUACGAGUUGAGCUAGUUUUAAUACAUAUUCUGUGUAAAGCUCCUCGAUGCUUGGAAACUCUGAAUGUACUUGGAUCCAAAUAUUUUCCUUUUAUUUGUAAAUUACAAACGUAUAUGUAUAAAACUAUUUACCC